AGCAGUUGCUUAAUCUAAGAAAUCUGAAACACAAAGAGCCUAGAAGACAGGUUGUACCAAAAUCAUUAAGAAAGGUUGUACCAAAAUCACUAUGCUCCUGAACUCCAGCAUAAUCCAGCUCCAGCUUUUUCCCUGUCUGUCCUACUGCUGCCUCGGGAAGUGUUUGCAGUUGACAGUUUUGUCGAAGGGACCCAGAGCAGACUUCUCCCCUUUGCACCCAUCCACCUCCUCGGGAAGUCCAGAUGAAGUCGGGUCUCUGCUAUUUCUAUCAACUGGACGCUGGUGGCUCCUAGACAGAGGCAAGCCCAAGGUCAGGCCAUGACAGAGGGUCUGAAGACACUACUGGCUGUUCUGUAGGACGUUCAUCAGCAGUGGGAUGCAACGGGGCCAGAGCCCUUUAAGCUGUAGCGCUGCAGCUCUCAGUGCCACACCUCCCAGCACAGCCACCCUGGCCCUGCGGCUGCAGGACUGAGCAGGUAAGCCUGGGCAGCUCAGCAUGAGAGCCUCUGCCUGGUUCUACACAUCGUUCCUUGGCCAGCCCUGGAGUUUGAGAAGCACCCUGGAGAGUUCAAUUUAUUUUUUAAGAAAUCAAAAAGCCUAUUUUAAAAGUUAUGCAAACACAACAUUCUUCUAGAACAUACAGAUAAACAUAGAAGAAAAAACAAAUUACUGUCUACCAUACUCCCAAAUCCGUCACCAUUACCAUUUUUCUGUCUAUCCUGUUCGAGGGACUUUUUAGGCAGUCCCCAAGUCUCAGCCUCCUUCUGAUGAAACUGGAAUUUAUUAUCAUCUACUAGUUGUCACCUACAAAGGCACGGUGAUAACUGAAGUCUGUAUGGAAAAUGCUGACGAUUUACACAGAGGCUAUUUCUUUGCUGUGGAAAUGGUAAAUAACUCUUAAGUUGUAAGUUUCAAAAAAGAAGAAGAAAAAAAAAAAGAUGCCGACACCAGCCUGGCUGCAACGCAAGGAGGAAAAGUUUUGAACUCUGAGCUCCCAGGCUUUCCCCUGGGGCAGGUGUGGGGCACCCACGGGCCUGCAGAGCUCAGGUCCACUAAGGGAUGUGAGCUGGGGUGAGGGGCUGGCAGCAGUGGCCACUCACGUCACCCCCGUCACCUCAGAAGCAGUCUAGUUUCUGGAACUUCAGAUCUUGCAAGGAUGCAGUGAACUUCCUGACGCUGGCCGCUUUAUCUCUAAAGCCGACAACUUGCCCUUCCUUUCAGCUCACCUCUAACAUCCUCAAAAGCCCCCUGACCUUUCCACCUCUGUAAGUGCCACGCAGAUGUGGCACAUCUACAGCAGUCUUUCCUAUUUGUUGGGGAACCAUAAAAUCACCCUCAUGGUGCUUUCUUCUAACACACAAAUAGAAGGUUAAUAUUUUGAUAAAUGGACUUGUGUCCUUUUCUCCCCAGAUGGGCUCUGUUCCCUUUACGCUCCCCUUGCCCCGCCCCCUGUGCUGUGGAGCCAGCUGGGCUCAGAGCCUUAGGGGAGCCAUGUGGUUUGGAGGAAAAUAAAUAUAACCUGC